rnacentral:rRNA from 1 species
GAUGAACGCUGACAGAAUGCUUAACACAUGCAAGUCCACUUGAACUUCGGUUUGGGUGGCGGACGGGUGAGUAACGCGUAAAGAACUUGCCUCACAGUUAGGGACAACAUUUGGAAACGAAUGCUAAUACCCGAUAUUAUGAUUUUAGGGCAUCCUAGAAUUAUGAAAGCUAUAUGCGCUGUGAGAGAGCUUUGCGUCCCAUUAGCUAGUUGGAGAGGUAACGGCUCACCAAGGCGAUGAUGGGUAGCCGGCCUGAGAGGGUGAACGGCCACAAGGGGACUGAGACACGGCCCUUACUCCUACGGGAGGCAGCAGUGGGGAAUAUUGGACAAUGGACCAAGAGUCUGAUCCAGCAAUUCUGUGUGCACGAUGAAGUUUUUCGGAAUGUAAAGUGCUUUCAGUUGGGAAGAAAAAAAUGACGAUACCAACAGAAGAAGUGACGGCUAAAUACGUG